AUGUCGUUUAUUUUGUUACUUCAAUAGGAAAUCUCACAAUUAACCUUACAAUUAAAUUUUUACAAUGACUUAACCUUCAAAUUUUUGAACUCAAAAAGAUAAAUGUUGGUGACAAAAUUAAUGUAAAAAGGAUAAUCAACAUCUCGAAUCAAAUUAAAGGAUCUAAUGUUUCCUGAUCCUGUCUCUAUACUUGUUGCGCUGCUAUUGUUACCAUUAUCAUGAUAUUUUCAGAAAAUAUAUUGUGUGCUUUGUUAUAAAUAUAAAAAAGACCUUGUUAAAUGUUUCCAUGUUUAAUUAUUCAAGCCUAACCGUGAAGAAGGGCCAUUGACAGUCAACAGGAGCAACAAUUGCAAGCAACUCAAGUGGAUAUAAUGAUAGGAAUCGGAUUCCAUGAAAGGCUGUUUUAUUGCGUCUCAAAUUGAUUUUAGAUUCUAUUAUUUCGAUCAAAUUGAGUUACCUGUUGAAACAUUCGGACAAUUUAGUCUAUUAAAGUGAUAUUGUCAACAAAGCAAAACAGUUAGAGUGCAGAAACAAUGCCAUCAAGAAAGACUAGAUAAAUUAGCCAUUAAAUUUCUUGGUUUCAUUGAAAAUUAAUGGACAGCUUAAACAAAAACAUGAAAUUGAAUUAUAUUUGAAUUUGAAUCUUUAUAAUUGCAUCUUUCCGCUGUUAAAUGUUUCUUAUUCCAAUCUGGUAAUGGUCAGGUAAUGCUGCACUUUGAUUGUGUGUGUCUUGAUGGAUGAUUAUUCUGCUGGUUAGUGUUUGUGUUUAGUCAAGUUAAUUGGCUAAAGGAAGGGUCUGUUAGGGUUAGAUUUUAAUUUGGGUUCCUUGUUGGUUAAAUUGGGGUUAAAACCAGAAGAUUAUCUCACAGCCUUUAAUGCCUGCCUAUCAAUCAUUAUUAAUAACAAGAAAAUCAACUGCCAAUCCCUUGUUAAUAAGUAAUCCAAAUGGCUCAUGGUUAACCAAGCAAUGAGCAUUCCUAAUCAAGAGUGAUUCUUGGUCAAUUAGGCGAAUCAAAUUCAAUUUUUACAAUCACCGUAAACAUCAACAUCGACAAUGGAAUCACACUGAUUAACAAUGAAAAAAAGGCAACAAAUCGAGUUAAUCAAAAGUCCAUUUUACCAAUUGAAUGCUGCAAUCUUGAAAUCAAAUUCUCGAACCUCAAAGAGUAAAUAAAACCACAAUUAUUUGGAUAAUUGGUUUUCAUUAUCAUCAUCAACCAGUAAUUAACGAUCAUCAAUCAAAUAUCAAAUCAGAUUUAUCAUUAUAAUCGUGUUUGUAUGAGAAGCCGAGUCCAAACAUUGACAGGUAAUUACAACAAUCAAAAGUUAAAUUGUACGGUAAAAUAAACAAAUGUAUAAAAGUAUCAGAAAUGAUUAAGCUGAUUGUGGAAAACGAUUUUAAAUGAUUUAUUUUAACCCUUAAGCUAUGUGAAUGGUUAACUCAACAAGUUGUGAUUGAAUGUAACAAAUUUAAUAGAAGCCAAAUUUAAUUAAAAAACAAUCAAUUCAAAUUAGCCUUGUAUUGUCUCUAAUCAAUAGAUUAUCAAUUUAGCCUUUUCUCUAGUCACAAUCCUAUUAAUUUUCUUGUUUGAUCAUAGUAACAGUUUUACAAUUAAAAUGAAACAAAGCUUCAUUAUUAUACAAUACAAAUUGUGAAUUACGCUCUUUACGGUUCUUAUUAAUAACCUUGAUUGUUGCUAAUAAAUUAUCACAAUUGAAGGACAUCAUCAAAUACAACGUUAAUAACAAUGCUUAUUUAAUCUUCAUUUGUUCUCGCAAUUAACUAAACUUGGGUAAAAUAAACGCAUUGAAAUUUCCUCGGUCGUGAUGAGUAAACAUUGAAGUAAUGGCGUCUUGAAAAGGAAAGUUAACGUUUUUUUUUUUGCUUAUGGCUUAUCAAUUUUAUUUUCAUGAUUAACAUAACUAUUAUGGUUAUUAUAAUUUAAACCUUCUCAUAAUUUGAUCAAUUUACAAUUUACAAUUUGAUUAUGAUUAGGCAAACUCAUGUCAAAUUGAAAUGAUAAUUGAAUAAUUGUUCAAUAUUUCAAAAGAUUAUCAAGGGCAAAAGGAUUAUACUUUAAAGUGACUAAUAACCGAUUGGAAUUAAAACCAUUUCGACCCAAUUAGAAUGGAUUUUAAUGUGAUUAUUUUACCUUUUGGUAAACGCAUAUUGGGAGGAUUUGCCAUUAAGCCAAAGCUGUGAUUCAAUAGGAAAAAUCAUUUCUACUAUUCAAUCGUCAAAAUACGCAACUAAAUUGUUAACAAUUGGACAUAUCAUCAUCGUCUUUCUCAACCUAAUUGAUUCCUUUUCUUGCAUUAGUUCUGAUGAUCAACUAAUUGUUCAACUUGUAUCCACUUCGCCAUUUACGACCAUUAUUAUUGUGAAUGUUAACCCAUCAUUGUUAUUAUUAAUUUUGUAUUGUGCAUAUAAAUUGGCAAUUAUUUAAUUACAAUAGUAGCCAUAAUUACUCUCUCUCUCUAUUGAGGACAUCUUCAUUAUAAUUUUUUGAUUUACUCAGCAAUUUAUUCAAUUAUGCAUCAGACUAAAUGUUUAAGGCCAAUUGUUGCAAGAUUUACCAUCCAAAUGAUUAUGCAUUUGUGACUUAAUCAAUCUCAACCUUGACAUGAUCAAAUUAAUGAUUUAACUUGAACAAUCCAAUGAGUAAAGAUUGUGCACAAUUGGAUGGUCAUACAACUCGAGAUCAGUUUGAAUAAUGAUCGUUAAUACAGAUAAACCUGAUUUAGUUGAGCCACCAAAAUAAAAUUUUUGAUUAGCUUUUAUCAAUUUACACAAUCAGUAAGUUGUUUAAAAUUUAAGGCGUCCGUCAAAUCAUGAUAUUGUAACAAUCGACUAAUUUACACUCAAAAUUAAAAUGAACCAUUAAAAGUCAAGAUGGCAAAUAAUGAUGAUCUUGAAGACUGAA